rnacentral:lncRNA from 1 species
GGGAAAGAGACCAACUCAGAAAGCUCAGAAUAAGCAACCAUGACUAUUUAUUCACUCCCAUGGGAGUGGGCUAAGUUCAGAGAACAGAAUCACCAGAAAAAGAGGGUAGCACAAAGGACUUGAAAGGAGAAGUGUUUGUUGACUCAAAGAUUUUGGGGGCAGAGAUAGCGUGGUUGUCCUUCUUUGAAUGGGCAGGGCAGAUGCAAGCGUGGUCACAAUUCUUGGAAUGGGUGGUACAGAUUGAUAUGGCUUUGUUCUUCUUCUGUAGUUUCUCGCUGUGCUUGCCGGGAACAGCCUCACUUCUUGGACAUGACAAAGGCCGGAUCCCAGGUAUCUCCAGCUCCUAGUCAAGCUGCUGUCCACCUGUGCUAUCAUUAAAACUAUAUAUAUGACAACUGUACAAAUGUGUUUUCUACACUACAAAAUCUAUGUUUACAAGUUAAUACAGUUACAGAUUUUGCUUUAAGUCUCAAUGCCAUGCUCAUAAUAAACCCUAUAUUGUUAUGUCUCCUUUGGGUCAGUCAAGAUAAGACCUUUGACCCCUUGCUAGGUAGAAUCAGUGCCCCUCUUCAACCUGAAGCAGCCAUUUAAAAAGAACCUUUUACCACUUUACAUCCCUUAAGAAUAAGGAAACAAAGUGAGGGGGUUGAGGCAGGAUAGAAGAAAUAAAAUGGGUGGAAAAGAGAAAAGGAAAAAUCUUAAUUUUAAACUUGUACUUUCAAUAAAAACUGCAAAUUCAAAACACAAAUACAGUAAAAAAUCCUUAAGGUCCCUAUAGACACAAUAAGCUCGGACC